rnacentral:ncRNA from 1 species
UACUAAUUGGGGUGCUGAUAAAGUUCGGCUGAGAUGGUUUAAAACCAAACCCUUAUACCUGAUGCGGAUAAUGCCGCCGUAGGAAAAAGAAGUA